AGAAAAUGUAAACAACAUAGCACUUACAUCUGUUGACAUCUCUGCUGCGAGGAUGAACCCGUGAACAACAUAUUGUCAGCAUCUAGUUAUCAUCCUGCAAUAUCACUGUCUAUGCUUGAGACUUUCAAAUGGAUAAAUAAAUACAGACGAGAAGUGCUGAAGAUUACACCCACGAAGAAAAGCUACAUUCAGUUACGCAUAAAGAAUGUCUUUAUAGUUGAAAAGUGCUUCAUAACUUUAUAUUUAUAGGACGAUUGUGCGAUGUCAUCAGGAAUUCUGUUUCAAACACUUGUACUAGGGUUUCUAUGGAACUGCGUCUGUACUAAUUCUUGACGUAUCUGAAAAACAAGCUUCUCCAUCAACCAAGCGAGCAUUGUAUUCAUGCGCUACACAUAAAUUUGCGAAAAAGCUGUCAACCACUUCCGUCAACAUGCCAUGUUUGAUCUACAUUCUACAACAUGAUAUAAAUACAAAUCGGAAUUGACUGUGACACAGACCUGAGACGCUUGUCAAAACCAGCUUACAAUUUAGGAACAUGAUUUGACUGCAAUGUUCCAUCAACUCAAUAUUGCAAAAAUGAGAAAGGGGUUAUCAAGACAACCAAGGACAACACUGUGAUAUUUUCUUUUACCUUGAGUUAAAUUAUGAAGGAUAGUUUGUCACUUAAUUGUGAACUCUUGGUUGUCUGAAUUAUGCUGCAAUAAAAAAUACAAAUACUCAAACUUCGAGCAGUCCAGUCGCGUCGCUGAAUCGAAUGCUUGAAUUGUACGACGCACUUGAGGAUUUCUGACAUAUUCAGCUAAUCCCUAAGAUAACUAAAUAUCAUUCUGAUAUUGCACCGCAUGCUUCCCAUAGAGUCACAUUUAUUGGAUACAAGUUAAAACAGUUGUACAUCGUCAUAACUUGCUAUAUAAAUUAGAAUUAUAUGAAUUUAAUUUGACCAAUAAUCCAUUAGUUAUGGUACCAUGCCGAAUAUUCAUCUUCUAGUUAAUAGAUAAGACUAGAAAGAAUUAUCUAAUAUAAGAAACCAAAGUGUAUAGAAAUCGGAAAGUUGUGCAAUAUUGUUUGUAUUGUAAUC